ACUAGAGGCCCUGCUCUGAAGGAUUAAUGGGUGUUAGAUUUUGCCUAAUCUCAGCGUUAGAGCGGUGACAUCUCUUCCAUCUCAUUUACACCCAGUUUUUCCUCUCAGGGCCUGAGCUGUGACCUCCUUGCUUAGAAGGGGUUGUCCACCUGUGAGACUUUUGAUGUGAGGAAGUGCUGAGGAGGAGAUGAGCUCCUCCAGCAGGUGCUCUCACCCACCCUGUAUCGGGCAGCUGAGGGAUGCUGCCCUUGGGGCUUUGGCGAGCUCAGUGCUCUGCAGGUUGCCUAACCAACCCUUCGACCCCUGUACAUGGCCCAGUGGUUGCUGCUCACAUCAGGCACUAGCAAAACUCCUUGGGAGUAGAGUUUCUUAUAAAACUGGACAAACAGCUGGUGUCAGAGAUAGUUUGGCAUUUCACUGAGAUUUCAGGAACUCUGCAACUCUCCUCUGAAAGCCUGUACAAUGAAGACAUUGUGCUAGCACUGCUCUCGCCAAUAUUACAAAGCCAGGCAGAAAUGACCACAGCGAAGGUGCCAUGGUGAGAAGAAAUUAAGUGCUUGCUCGUGACCAGGCUGAACCUAAUAUUUCAUGCACCCAAAUGAUCAAGCAGCUGUUCGGAAACCUUUGGAGCACAGUCAUGAAGGAAACUUUCUUCUGCCAUAAGAUUCAUGCUUUCCAAGAACACUAUUUUGUUCCAAACAAGUUAAUAUACACAGGGAGAGACAUCUUGAGUUUCACUGGUCUCUCCUACACUAUUCAGGAUUAGUGGUAGGCUGCAGUUUUAAAAACAUCCUUCCGCUGCACAAUGAGAGGAGUGUAUUUAAUGCUGGGAGCAGAACAGUUACCAAGAAAAUGGGAGUUUUUGCUAAGAAAGUCGCUAGAAGACAUGACUCUCACAGAUUGCCACUCAACAUUGUAUUUAAAGAAAAAAAAAAAAAAAAAAAAGUUUUCAUAACUUAUUAGAAGACAUGUUUUUUAUAGUUAUAUACUAUCACAUGUCAAUUUACCAUGAGUAGAGCUUUAAAGGCCCUUCUAUGUUAAAUGCUGCAUCUUCAGUGAUUUGCAGCUUUUUUUGAGCUACCUUCUGGGUAUAUUUUAAGAAAACAUACUGCUUUGAUGGCAUUUACCCCCACCAGAAUGCUGACAGCCUCAGAGCACCUCUGGCAUUAAUGCUAUGUGAGGAUAUCUGUGCGACCAUAGCUGUGUAUAACACCUGCUUUGGGAAUAAACUCCGGGCACGUAACUUCAGUGUCAUUCAGGAAGUGACACAGGUGCCAAAGACCAUGGGACAUUAACGAAAGACACUGCACUGUCUUUUCAAGUUCACAAACUCUGCCUGGAGUUGCCUCAAAGAUUUCCACUGCUCAUUAGAGAGAGCUUACCAAAAAUAAAAACCAAAAAUUAAAGUUCUUUCCAAAUUGUAUUUGCAGAGAGUUUUAGGUGGGAAAAAAAAUUCUUUGCAAUAAG